rnacentral:rRNA from 1 species
UGUAGAGAUACAGUUUUCCUUUCGGGGACACCGGUGACAGGUGGUGCAUGGUUGUCGUCAGCUCGUGUCGUGAGAUGUUGGGUUAAGUCCCGCAACGAGCGCAACCCUUAUUGUUAGUUGCUACGCAAGAGCACUCUAGCGAGACUGCCGUUGACAAAACGGAGGAAGGUGGGGACGACGUCAAAUCAUCAUGCCCCUUAUGUCCUGGGCCACACACGUACUACAAUGGUGGUCAACAGAGGGAAGCAAUACCGCGAGGUGGAGCAAAUCCCUAAAAGCCAUCCCAGUUCGGAUCGCAGGCUGCAACCCGCCUGCGUGAAGUUGGAAUCGCUAGUAAUCGCGGAUCAGCAUGCCGCGGUGAAUACGUUCCCGGGCCUUGUACACACCGCCCGUCACACCAUGAGAGUCGGGAACACCCGAAGUCCGUAGCCUAACCGCAAGGGGGGCGCGGCCGAAGGUGGGUUCGAUAAUUGGGGUGAAGUCGUAACAAGGUAGCCGUAUCGGAAGGUGCGGCUGGAUCACCUC